rnacentral:lncRNA from 1 species
GUUGAUUAAACGAAAUGAGAUUUAUAAACUGUUUUGAAAUUGAAUACUGGUUUUGGAAAUUGAGUAAGUGGAGACUGUAUACUUGUGUUAUAUAUAUGUUUUGACAUAUGGUUUGAAUUAAUGGCUUAUGACAAUGUGAUGGCAAGCAUGGCUGGAUUUGUGUUUGUGUGGAAUAUAUGAACUGUUUUGCUUUGCCUUGACAGG